rnacentral:rRNA from 1 species
AUGCCCAUCUUCUCCUAUAUGAAGUCUUUCGAUGAGAAAAAAACAUUAAGCAACCUUUCGGGACGAGACUCGGCCGCCACGAGGCGGAACCUUGGUGGAACCAAUCUAGGGCUCCGGCAGAGCUGUUCUGCCGGGGACACUUCCCUCCGGGAGGGGGAAAUCAUGACCAACGUCAUCACCAACGAUCCUCUCAUCGGGAGAGGGCAAUAUCCAUCAACAUCUUCACCAGCACCAUCUCAUCUCCAAACCCUAGUUCAUCUCUUGUAUCCAAUUCUUGUCUCCAAGUCCGGGAUUGGUGCUAGUAGGUUGCUAAUAGUGUUGAUUACUCCUUGUAGUUGA